CCAGACUCUGCCGGCAAAUUCCGGGUCAGGAGCAGAGCUGGGGUUUCUCUACGCCCAGCGCUUGGCAGGGCCCCUGCGUCCUCUCGCAGAGUGGGCCGCUGCAGCUCCAGGGACAGGGACGCUGUGGACGCACGGGCUCGGGGCGGGGCUACACCGGGCUCAGAGAGAGAGCCAGGCCAGCCUCUGACAGUCACCGGAGGAACCGCGGGGAGGUGAGCCCAGGAGUGACGGGAGCAGGCGGCAGCUGGAGCCACCCGCCGGGAACCUGCGCCCUUCCUGCCAGGUCCUCUCCUGGUAGGUCUGGUUGCUGACGUAGGUGAUGUAGACCGAGAAGUGGUUGGCCGCGUAGUGGUACACGAUGUCACACACGUCCGAGAUGACGACGUUCUCCUCCAUCCGGCGCUCCAGCUCCAGG